rnacentral:rRNA from 1 species
AAGUCGACGAACUCUUCGGAGUUAGUGGCGGACGGGUGAGUAACACGUGGGAACGUGCCUUUAGGUUCGGAAUAACUCAGGGAAACUUGUGCUAAUACCGAAUGUGCCCUUCGGGGGAAAGAUUUAUCGCCUUUAGAGCGGCCCGCGUCUGAUUAGCUAGUUGGUGGGGUAAUGGCCCACCAAGGCGACGAUCGGGGCUGGUCUGAGAGGAUGACCAGCCACAUUGGGACUGAGACACGGCCCAAACUCCUACGGGAGGCAGCAGUGGGGAAUCUUGCGCAAUGGGCGAAAGCCUGACGCAGCCAUGCCGCGUGGAUGAUGAAGGUCUUAGGAUUGUAAAAUCCUUUCACCGGUGAAGAUAAUGACUGUAGCCGGAGAAGAAGCCCCGGCUAACUUCAUGCCAGCAGCCGCGGUAAUACCAAGGGGGCUAGCGUUGCUCGGAAUUACUGGGCGUAAAGGGAGCGUAUGCGGACAUUUAAGUCAGGGGUGAAAUCCCGAGGCUCAACCUCGGAACUGCCUUUGAUACUGGGUGUCUUGAGUGUGAGAGAGGUGAGUGGAACUCCGAGUGUAGAGGUGAAAUUCGUAGAUAUUCGGAAGAACACCAGUGGCGAAGGCGACUCACUGGCUCAUUACUGACGCUGAGGCUCGAAAGCGUGGGGAGCAAACAGGAUUAGAUACCUGGUAGUCCACGCCGUAAACGAUGAUUGCUAGUUGUCGGGGAGCUUGCUCUUCGGUGACGCA